rnacentral:lncRNA from 1 species
CCUCUGUAAAGAAAUAUAAGAGCGUUUGUUAUAUUUCUUUACGGAGGGAGUAAUAUUCAGUAUAGGUGAUCCAAAAGGAGUAAAUUAAAUAAAACUCCACAUUGUAAAAACAUGUGUCAGCCGUACAUGGUAGAAAAUGUCCUCUUCGCACAUCUGGAUUACUUAAAAAAAACUAAAAUUAGAUUCUAUAAACUUGUGGUUUUCUGUUCAACCCAGCUUAAACAGCUCCUAGGCGACCAAAACUGAAUGAAACUCUAAACUGAAAAAAAAACAUCGAUAAAAAAGAGCUCAUCUAUAGCCUUGGACCUUUGAUCUGGCCCUACCAAGCCAUGGCGACUGGUGUGUAGAUGUGGAACCUAAGGCGACUGCGGAAAGACCCCGCCCACUCGACAACACCUCAUUCCCGUUUCUCCGCUCCCUUCCCAUAAGAUGCCACCGCCUAUAUAAGCAUAAGCAUCUUGCAUCAUGUAGAGAGAUAUAAUGCACCUUUACAUAGUGGAAAGAGGAAAAUUGGCACACAAAACUGGUAAUUGUGCCAUGAAAUACAUAUUUGUGCAUUCAAGCAUCCAGAAAUACACAAAUGCAUCAAAAAAAUACACAACUACAAAAAUAAAACUGCGGGUGCGUUUGGAUAGCUACAAAACAUUCCUUGUGAUAGUUGCAAAAAAAAUACAUAUUUGUGCACUCAAGCAUUCAGAAAUACACAAAUGCAUAAAAAAAACAAAUGCAAAAAUAAAACUGCGGGUGCGUUUGGAUAGCUAUCUCACCUAGCUUAGCUGGGCUAGAAUUAUCUAGCCCGCUCCAGCAAGAGCCGCUAGAAGCAAGGCUAGUUAUUUGGAUAAUGGCUAAUUUUGCUAGUGUGGGAGAGCCACUUCGGCUAGCUUCCAUCGGCAAGGUUUUCUUGGCAGCUGAGGGCUAGAUUGCUUCCAGAAGCUAGUUUUACUUUGAUUACCAAAUGGAUAACCUUGCAUAGCUAAGCUAGAGCUGCCCCUUGCCUCACAUCCAAACACACCCUUGAUAUCUAACUGUCCAUGGUCAACACAUACAAAAUGUACAUACAUACUGGCAGUCUGCCAAAUACAAAAAGAGGAAACGCUAACUAAUAUGUAGAACACAUAUGAAUGAUUAUGAGUUGUGAGUCUAUGGCGAUGUGGACUUUUCUUGAGGGAUUCAUAUAGCUGAAGGGAUUAACUGCCAAAAUAUAACAAAACUGAAGUUCAUGGUGUGCAACCAACUUUCAAAAAUUUGGAAAAUGGCUUCGCGAAGUAAAACCACGCCUGUCAAGUCUCCAUUGACAGCCACUGUUUGGGAAGAAUUAGACUCUGCUAUUAGUCAGUAGGUAUGGUACACAUUCUGUUCAUGCUAACAACAUAUGCUAUUAGACGGUUAAAUCACACACCAUGUUUCUAUUUUCUAAAUAAAAAUAGGAAUUGCUACAGCAGAAAAGAAACACGCAAAUAUCUAGCUAAAUUACCUCACAAAACUAUCAGCAAGGCAGAAGCAAACUCUUGAGUUCCUUCCUGCUCUUGCUUUAUUUCCACUCCGGCAAACACUCCCUGCCACUGAAAUCUUUGCUGAUGUAUGCAAAAAUUAUGCGAAUGGGGUUCCAUUAAGAUAGCCAAAUGAACAAUUAGUCCAGUCAACCAAACAAAUUUUGGAUGGACACUGCUCCAUUCAAAUGUAACCAUGGUAUGAAUGAUCCAUCGAUCCCGAGCGUGUCAAAGACAGAUGGGUACUGACCCAUUCAAAUCCAACCGUGGCAUGAACGAUCCAUCGAUCCCAAGUGUGUCAAAGACACCCAUUUUCUUAUCUCCUGCCAGAAAAGAAGCCCGAGUAAACCGCAUCAACAUAUCAACAAGGGAUCCACUUCUCCAGAAGCGAAACCAUGAACCUACGGGGGUCACGAGAGAGGACU